UAUAGAGACCUAAAUACUCUAAAGGCACCAGAUCCCAUAUGAUCAUGGAUGCUAAGCAGGAUCAUGUGUGGUUAGUAUUUGGAUGGCAGACCUCCUAUGAAUACCAGGUGCUAAAG
rnacentral:rRNA from 1 species